GGGGAGGAGCAGGUCACAGGAUUGGAGGUCAGCCUUGCCAGUGUUAGCUCAGCAGGUCUUGGCACAUUGGUCUGCUCUUUGAGCUUUGCAAGAACUGAACUGUGGGUUCUUGAUGCUACUGAUGUUCCAGUGCUUUCUAGGUCAUCCUGGUUCUCUUCCCACUGUGACUUUUCCCUCUCCUUUCCCUUGCCUUCCCUUCCCAGCUACCCUUCCUCCCAGGCAGAUGAGACAAUCCUGGACUACUCGCCCUUUCAGGUUCGCUGACAACAACUGCAGUAUUCAGAAAACACCAAUAGGUAUUUUACAAAAAAGGAGGCGCUGGCCUACGAGGCAGAAGCACGCACCCAGCUCCUCCAGGGAGGGCACGCCGUAGGUUUCGUCA